rnacentral:rRNA from 1 species
UACCUACGGGGGGCAGCAGUGGGGAAUAUUGCACAAUGGGGGAAACCCUGAUGCAGCAACGCCGCGUGGGUGAAGAAGUAUUUCGGUAUGUAAAGCCCUAUCAGCAGGGAAGAGAAUGACGGUACCUGACUAAGAAGCCCCGGCUAACUACGAGCCAGCAGCCGCGGGAAUACGUAGGGGGCGAGCGUUAGCCGGAUUUACUGGGUGUAAAGGGAGCGGAGACGGUUGGGCAAGU